UACGUAGGGGGCAAGCGUUGUCCGGAUUUAUUGGGCGUAAAGAGCGUGUAGGCGGCCAAGCAGGUCAGCUGUGAAAACUCGAGGCUCAACCUCGAGACGUCGGUUGAAACCGUGUGGCUAGAGUCCGGAAGAGGAGAGUGGAAUUCCCGGUGUAGCGGUGAAAUGCGCAGAUAUCGGGAAGAACACCCGUGGCGAAGGCGGCUCUCUGGGACGGUACUGACGCUGAGACGCGAAAGCGUGGGGAGCGAACAGG
rnacentral:rRNA from 1 species